rnacentral:rRNA from 1 species
AUGAACGCUGGCGGCGUGCUUAACACAUGCAAGUCGAACGAAGCAUUUAGGACAGAUUACUUCGGUUUGAAGUUCUUUAUGACUGAGUGGCGGACGGGUGAGUAACGCGUGGGUAACCUGCCUUGUACUGGGGGAUAGCAGCUGGAAACGGCUGGUAAUACCGCAUAAGCGCACGAUGUCGCAUGACAAAGUGUGAAAAACUCCGGUGGUAUAAGAUGGACCCGCGUCUGAUUAGCUAGUUGGUGAGAUAACAGCCCACCAAGGCGACGAUCAGUAGCCGACCUGAGAGGGUGACCGGCCACAUUGGGACUGAGACACGGCCCAGACUCCUACGGGAGGCAGCAGUGGGGAAUAUUGCACAAUGGAGGAAACUCUGAUGCAGCGACGCCGCGUGAGUGAAGAAGUAAUUCGUUAUGUAAAGCUCUAUCAGCAGGGAAGAUAGUGACGGUACCUGACUAAGAAGCUCCGGCUAAAUACGUG